rnacentral:rRNA from 1 species
AGAUGGCGACCGGCGCACGGGUGAGUAACACGUAUCCAACCUGCCGAUAACUCCGGGAUAGCCUUUCGAAAGAAAGAUUAAUACCGGAUGGCAUACGAAUAUCGCAUGAUAUUUUUAUUAAAGAAUUUCGGUUAUCGAUGGGGAUGCGUUCCAUUAGUUUGUUGGCGGGGUAACGGCCCACCAAGACUACGAUGGAUAGGGGUUCUGAGAGGAAGGUCCCCCACAUUGGAACUGAGACACGGUCCAAACUCCUACGGGAGGCAGCAGUGAGGAAUAUUGGUCAAUGGGCGAGAGCCUGAACCAGCCAAGUAGCGUGAAGGAUGAAGGCUCUAUGGGUCGUAAACUUCUUUUAUAUGGGAAUAAAAUUUUCCACGUGUGGAAUUUUGUAUGUACCAUAUGAAUAAGGAUCGGCUAACUCCGUGCCAGCAGCCGCGGUAAUACGGAGGAUCCGAGCGUUAUCCGGAUUUAUUGGGUUUAAAGGGAGCGUAGGUGGAUUGUUAAGUCAGUUGUGAAAGUUUGCGGCUCAACCGUAAAAUUGCAGUUGAAACUGGCAGUCUUGAGUACAGUAGAGGUGGGCGGAAUUCGUGGUGUAGCGGUGA